GCUUACGGCCAUACCAGCCUGGGUACGCCUGAUCUCGUCUGAUCUCGGAAGCUGAGCAGGGUCGGGCCUGGUUAGUACUUGGAUGGGAGACCGCCUGGGAAUACCAGGUGCUGUAAGCA
rnacentral:rRNA from 1 species